ensembl:lncRNA
UCCUCACUGAGGCUGAGCUAAGCCAGGUGGUAUGACCUUGAACAUCCAGAACUGUGAGCUAGAAUAAGCCUCUUCACAAAGUACUGAGUCUCAGAUCCAAGAUUGAUUUCAAGAACUUCUGAGAUCGCUGUUCUUCUUGCAUUGAAAGUAAACCACAUGGCCCAGAUGUGAAAACUGGUUCAGAGACGUGUGACUACCUGCUGCCCAAGGUCACAGGGCAAGAGAAGGCCAUAUCAGUUCUGACCAAGGUCCCCUCUAUCCCGGUCCCUGUUCCUGUGGCUCAUGUAACCCUCACCCAGCCCCCGGGCUGUCACCUUCCCUGUCCUCCGGGGAGGGAUCUGUGACCCAGAGCAGUGCACUGAAGGAGCAGGUGCGGUGACAUCCCACCCUCAUGGAGCAGAGGUGCCUCUGAGACACCUGCAGCCCUGCCUCCUUCCUCCUACUGUGAGCUCUUCCUGUCAGGGAAGGGGAAGGAGAUAGGGACCAAGGUGUGACCUUGCCUGCUCUCCAGGUUCUGGCUCCCUCAGGGGACUCUAGGCGUGGGGUGAGUGGGGAAAGUCCCAAGCUGACAACCCAGGGACACUCUCAGCAACCUGUGGAAGCAGAAAGCAGCCCUGAGGGUCAGGGGGUGCUUCCUGGGAGAGAAGACAUCUGAGCUGGUGUUUACAGCUUCCUUUUACCCGCAGUGUUCUACGCACAGUGCCCUGUCCUCCUGGGCAUCCUGGACCUGCCACAAUGACUUAUGUACAGGCAGCUGGGUCUGUGUGGAAUGUGGGGAUCCUGGGAUCACUGCUCCUCUAUGAGAUGCCAUACAGUCUUGUCACCUUCUUCCCCAAAGGCCGUGAUGCAGCCAAUGGAGCACUGGUCUGGGAGUCAGAGUCUCAC